rnacentral:rRNA from 1 species
AACGAACGCUGGCGGCAUGCCUAACACAUGCAAGUCGAACGAGACCUUCGGGUCUAGUGGCGAACGGGUGCGUAACGCGGUGGAACCUGCCCUAAGUAUCUGAAUAACUCCCCGAAAGGGGUGCUAAUACCGGAUAAUGUCUACGGACCAAAGAGUUAUCGCCAUUGGAUGGGCCCGCGUUGGAUUAGAUAGUUGGUAGGGUAAAAGCAUACGAAGGCGACGAUACAUAGCUGGUCUGAGAGGAUGAUCAGCCACACUAGGACUGAGACAGGGCCCAGACUCCAACAGGAGGCAGCAGUCGGGAAUUUUGGACAAUGGGCCAGAGCGUGAGAAAGAAAUGUCGUGUGAGGGAUGAAGGCCUUAGAGUUGUAAAGCUCGUUUAACCGGGAUGAUAAUGACAGUACCGGAAGAAUAAGCACCGGCUAACUCCGUG